AGUGAACGCUGGCGGUAGGCCUAACACAUGCAAGUCGAACGGCAGCACAGUAAGAGCUUGCUCUUACGGGUGGCGAGUGGCGGACGGGUGAGGAAUACAUCGUAAUCUACUUUUUCGUGGGGGAUCACGUAGGUAAACUUACGCUAAUACCGCAUACGACCUACGGGUGAAAGCAGUGGAUCUUCGGACCUUGCGCGAUUGAAUGAGCCGAUGUCGGAUUAGCUAGUUGGCGGGGUAAAGGCCCACCAAGGCGACGAUCCGUAGCUCGUCUGAGAGGAUGAUCAGCGACACUAGAGGUGAGACACGGACCAGAGUACUACGGGAGGCAGCAGUGGGGAAUAUUGGACAGUGGGCGGAAGCAUUGUACAGCGAGACCGCGUGGGUGACGAAGACGUUGGGGUUGUAAAGACCUUUUGUUGGGAAAGAACAGCAGCAGGUUGAUACGAAGCUGUUCUGACGGUACCCAAUGAAUAAGCACCGGCUAACUACGUG
rnacentral:rRNA from 1 species